rnacentral:lncRNA from 1 species
GGAAUAUUCCCUUUUUGGUCCCUCAUAUUAUUCGCGUGCUGCACUUUAGUCCUUUUUUAUUUAUUUUAAUUCUGUUUGUUGCUCUUUAAUUUUAUUUUAAUUCCAUUUUGACCCAUCAUUCUUUUUUUUCUUUUUCUCUUUUUACUUCUGUUUUAAUUCAAAUUCAGUUCUUAUUAGUGUACUUUUUUAAUUUAAUUGGUUCUUGUUUUUAAUAUAUUUGUUUUCAAAUCUAGUAUUACUUAAUAUUUAAAGUUAACAUCGUUUUAAAAUUUAUC